GUCGUUUCCAUUUACUUUGGCUGCAGUUGUCACCUCGGCACCAUCAUUGCAAGCAGAUAAAUUUGAUGGUUCAUCUUGUCCACAAUCAUGUGUAUCAACGGGAGUUUCUUUAAUGGGAACUUUAGCAGAUGAUUCAACAUUCGGUUUCAAAUCACAGUCAUCAUCCAAAACAUCACCACGACUGCCUACAGUAGCUUCUGUCCUACUGUUAUCAUCUCCGCAAGAGUCUUCAACUAGCUUGAUUUUCAGAUCCGGACAAUCU
rnacentral:misc_RNA from 1 species